UACGAAGGGGGCUAGCGUUGUUCGGAAUUACUGGGCGUAAAGCGCACGUAGGCGGGCGAUUAAGUCAGGGGUGAAAUCCCGGAGCUCAACUCCGGAACUGCCUUUGAUACUGGGGAUCUCGAGUCCGGAAGAGGUUGGUGGAACUGCGAGUGUGGAGGUGAAAUUCGUAGAUAUUCGCAAGAACACCAGUGGCGAAGGCGGGCUUACUG
rnacentral:rRNA from 1 species